CCUACGGGAGGCAGCAGUGGGGAAUAUUGCACAAUGGGGGAAACCCUGAUGCAGCGACGCCGCGUGAGUGAAGAAGUAUUUCGGUAUGUAAAGCUCUAUCAGCAGGGAAGAAAAUGACGGUACCUGAUUAAGAAGCCCCGGCUAACUACGUGCCAGCAGCCGCGGUAAUACGUAGGGGGCAAGCGUUAUCCGGAUUUACUGGGUGAAAAGGGAGCGUAGACGGCAGCACAAGUCUGGAGUGAAAUGCCGGGGCUUAACCCCGGAACUGCUUUGGAAACUGUGCAGCUAGAGUGCAGGAGAGGUAAGUGGAAUUCCUGGUGAAGCGGUGAAAUGGGUAGAUAUUAGGGGGAACACAGGGGGCGAGGGCGGCUUACGGAACUGUAACUGACGUUGGGGCUCGAAAGCGUGGGAGCAAACAGGAUUAGAUACCCUUGUAGUC
rnacentral:rRNA from 1 species